rnacentral:rRNA from 1 species
AGCAGCCGCGGUAAUUCCAGCUCCAAUAGCGUAUAUUAAAGUUGUUGCAGUUAAAAAGCUCGUAGUUGAAUUUCAGGCCUGGCUGGACGGUCCGCCCACUGGGUGAGAACUGUCUGUGGUCGGGUCCUACCUUCUGGCGAAGCGUCAUGGCCUUAACCGGCCGUGGCGGGGAACCAGGACUUUUACUGUGAAAAAUUGAGUGUUCAAAGCAGGCAGUCGCUUGAAUACAUUAGCAUGGAAUAAUGGAAUAGGACAGUGGUUCUAUUUGUUGGUUUCUAGGACCGUUGUAAUGAUUAAUAGGGAUAGUUGGGGGCAUUAGUAUUCAAUUGUCAGAGGUGAAAUUCUUGGAUUUAUUGAAGACUAACUACUGCGAAAGCAUUUGCCAAGGAUGUUUUCAUUAAUCAAGAACGAAAGUUAGAGGAUCGAAGACGAUCAGAUACCGUCGUAGUC